rnacentral:rRNA from 1 species
UACGUAGGGUGCAAGCGUUGUCCGGAAUUAUUGGGCGUAAAGAGCUCGUAGGCGGUCUGUCGCGUCUGCUGUGAAAACUCAGGGCUUAACCCUGAGCUUGCAGUGGGUACGGGCAGACUAGAGUGCGGUAGGGGAGACUGGAAUUCCUGGUGUAGCGGUGAAAUGCGCAGAUAUCAGGAGGAACACCGGUGGCGAAGGCGGGGUCUCUGGGCCGUAACUGACG